GAUGAACGCUGGCGGCGUGCCUAAUACAUGCAAGUCGAGCGAACAGACGAGGAGCUUGCUCCUCUGACGUUAGCGGCGGACGGGUGAGUAACACGUGGAUAACCUACCUAUAAGACUGGGAUAACUUCGGGAAACCGGAGCUAAUACCGGAUAAUAUAUUGAACCGCAUGGUUCAAUAGUGAAAGACGGUUUUGCUGUCACUUAUAGAUGGAUCCGCGCCGCAUUAGCUAGUUGGUAAGGUAACGGCUUACCAAGGCAACGAUGCGUAGCCGACCUGAGAGGGGGAUCGGCCACACUGGAACUGAGACACGGUCCAGACUCCUACGGGAGGCAGCAGUAGGGAAUCUUCCGCAAUGGGCGAAAGCCUGACGGAGCAACGCCGCGUGAGUGAUGAAGGUCUUCGGAGCGUAAAACUCUGUUAUUAGGGAAGAACAAAUGUGUAAGUAACUAUGCACGUCUUGACGGUACCUAAUCAGAAAGCCACGGCUAACUACGUG
rnacentral:rRNA from 1 species